rnacentral:tRNA from 1 species
CGGGGCGUGGCUCAGCCUGGUAGAGCAUUCGGUUUGGGACCGAAGGGUCGGAGGUUCAAAUCCUCUCGCCCCGA